UCAAGGUCGCCUUGAUUAUUGCAAGCUUAACCCCUGUGGAAGAUCUGCUUCUUGUGUCAACCUGCAUACCGAAAGACUCUGCUUGUGUCCAGAAGGCUCCUACUAUCAAGAGUUAUCAUGUGAGAAAGGAAAGACAUUCCCUGGAGAGAUUACAAUGAAAGUGCCUGAAUCACUUGACUGGGAAAAUAAAACCUCUAAGGCUUAUCAAGACUUUCACAAUGAUGUUGUCAAAUUUUUUGGAGAUGCACUUAAUAAGACUAAUUAUGGUUUUGGACAGACAAUAAUUCUUAAAGUGAGGUAAGUUUGCUCUGGCCCAGUGAGCUGCUUUGGAGGCAGCCUGUCUUUACUUUACUUCUGCUCUUCUCUCGAUCUCCCACGCCACGAGCCAUCUUGUGUUAAGAAGAGAUAGAGACAGCCAUGGAUGUGGGGAGAUGGCUCAGUUAGAAAAGAGUUCGCCCACAAGCACAGGGAGCUAAGUUUGGAUCCUCAGUACCCAUGUAAAAGCCUCACUCAGUGGCCCAUGUUUGUGAGGCUUCCCAGUGCUCUGGGAGUGGAGACAAAUGGCUCCCUGGAGCUUGUUGGCCAUCCAGCCUAGCCAAGUUGGUAAGCUCCAAGUUCAGUGAGGCUGUCUCCUAGGGUGGACUGUCCCUACCCCUUCACUAGAGGAGCUGCAGGUCUAUAUAGAGCCAUGGUGUUACAGGAUGGGUUUGCUAAAGUCAUCAAAGAUAAGGGUACUUUAGGAGACAAGAGAAUUUAGGAGACAAUGAGAGGGUAAAACUGGCUACUAUGCUCAGAAAUGUGUGGUGGGCCAGGGCAAAAACAAGUAGAACACACCCAAAGACAGGAGAAAGCUCAUGUUGUUAACGGGGACUUCAUCUUUCAGAUUGCUUAUAAAAGAUGGAAGGGGUAUGAGCCUGUGCUCAUGACCCACCAAGACACUGUGUGAAGAAAACUAUAGUCUCAGCACUUGUCUCUGCUGGCCCACAGGCUUCUCAGCAGGUUUGGCGUGGCCAAGGUCUACAAAGACAGGUGGAGGUAGUUGGAGAGGAACACAUUGUGAUAAGCUCUGGUGGUCAGCCAAGGCCUUCACUGGCGGUUGGAUGCUUCUUG